rnacentral:lncRNA from 1 species
GUAUUAAGUCACCAAUAAAUGCUAUUAAAAACUAAUAAGUACUUAUUAACUGCUAAUAGAAUUCAAUUAAUAUUAAUUAAUUAAUAAUUAAUGACUUCUUCGGGGCCUCACCUGUGCCUUGAGGGCCAGCACCUGCUCGGCCAGCUCGUCCUUCUCCUCGCGCAGCAGUUUGUGGAUCUGGUUGGCCUUGAUGCGCUCUGACAUCAGCUUGAAGUUGGCGUCGUCCUUCUCGCGCAGCUGCUGCAGCAGCCGCAGGUUCUGCUCCUGCAUGUCCUCGAAGGCCUGGCCCGUCACGUCCAUCUCCGACAGCAGCCGCAGGUUCUGCUCCUGCAUGUCCUCGAAGGCCUGGCCCGUCACGUCCAUCUCCGACAGCAGCGCCUCCUCCUCCUGCGGUAACGGCAAGAUGGCCGCCGUCAGCGGAUGGGAUAACCCAGAGAGACAAGAUGGCCGCCAUCAACGGAUAGAAUAACCCAGAGAGACAAGAUGGCCGCCAUCGGCAGAUGGAGUGACCCAGAGAGACAGGAUGGCCGCCAUCAGUAGAUAAAAUAACCCAAAGAAACAAGAUGGCUGCCACGAGGUAAUGCAAUAACCCAGAGAGACAAAAUGGCUGCCAUCAAUGGAUCGAAUAACCCAGAGAGACAAGAUGGCCGACAUGAGGACAUAUAACCCAAACAGACAAGAUGGCCACCGUCAGCGGAAGGGAUAACCCAGAGAGACAAGAUGGUGCCAUGAGAUCAUAUAAUAACCCAAAGAGACAAGAUGGCUGCCAUCAGUAGACAGAAUAACCCAGAGAGACAAGAUGGCCGACCUGAGGUGAUGCAAUAACCCAAAGAGACAAGAUGGCUGCCAUCAGUAGAUACAAUGACCCAAAGAGAUAAGAUGGCUGCCAUCAGUAGAUAGAAUGACCCAGAGACAAGAUGGCCGCCGUAACCAGAUGGAAUAACCCAGAGAGACAAGAUGGCCGCCAUGAGGUGAUACAAUAACCCAUAGAGACAAGAUGGCCGCCAUAAGCAGAUGGAAUGACCCAGAGAGACAAGAUGGCCGCCAUGAGGUGAUGCAACAACCCAGGGAGACAAGAUGGCUGCCAGAAGAUGAUACAUCAACCCACAGAAACAAGAUGGCCGCCAUGAUGUAAUGCAAUAACCCAGAGAGACAAGAUGGCCGCCGUAAGCAGAUGGAGUCACCCAGAUAGACAAGAUGGCCACCGUUGGCGGAUGGAGUAGCCCAGAGAGACAAGAUGGCUGACAUGAGAACAUAUAACCCAAAGAGACAAGAUGGCCACCAUCAGCAGAUGGAAUAAAGCAGAGAGACAAGAUGGCCA